GGUGUGCCCUUGUUGGAAGAAAUGUGUCACUGGGAAUGGGCUUUGAGGUUUCAGAUGCUUAAGCCAAGCCUCAAGUCUCUCCCUCUUCCUGCUGCCUGCAGAUCC
rnacentral:miRNA from 1 species